AAUUAGUUUUAUUCUAGCUAAAUUAUUAAUUUUUUCAAUGAAUCAAUAUGGGUAAAUACAAUUUUAAUACUUUUAUUCCAAUUAUUAAAAUUAUUUAAUUUUAUUAUAGAAAUAUUGAAUUAGUAAUUGAUAAUUAUGAUAGAUUAAGAUUUGUGCCAGCAUUCGCGGUUAAACAAUCUAUCAAUAUUAAUUUUUUAGGUUUAUUAAUAUUUAUAUUAGUAGUACAUAACUAAAAUGAUGUAUAUUUGGUAUAUUUAAGUGGAAUUUAUAUAUAAAGGUAAAUUCAAAAUACAAUUUUUAAUAAGUUAAUAUAUUAAACUAGGAUUAGAUACCCUAUUAUAAUUAAAUGUAAUAUUUACCUGAAUAAGUAUUAGUUACGUGCUUUAAAGCUCAAAGAAUUUGGCGGUAAAAUAUCUCAUUAGAGGAAUUUGUAAAUUAAUUGAUAAACCACGAUAGUUAAACACUUUAAUGUAUAUUUGUAUACCGCUAUAUUUAUGAAUGUUUUGAUAAGAUAUUUUCUUUUACCAUAAGGAUAAAAAUUAGGUCAAGGUGCAGUUUUAUUAAAGAUUUUAUGAAUUACUUCAAUAUUAAAUUUUUAUUAGAUAUUUUAACUAAAGUUAUAAUUGAAUAAGGAUUUAAAAGUAAAAUUAAUUAAUUAAUUAAUUUGAAUUUAUUUUAUUUUAUGCACAUAUCGCCCGUCACUCCUAAUUUAAGUUAGGAUAAGUCGUAACAAAGUAAUCUUACCGGAAGGUGAAAUUAGAAUGAUUAAAAUAU
rnacentral:ncRNA from 1 species